rnacentral:piRNA from 1 species
UUCAUCACUUCUACAAAUUAA